AAUCCUCCUCGAGGAUCUCCUCUCGAUCCCAAUUUGUUCAAAUUGACCAUAGAAGACAAUGAGCUUCAACUCCACUCGCUCUGCCAACUCUGGUUCUAAAUCAAAGCGUAGCUUCAAUUGGUUCUCUUCAAACCCUUCGAAGACUACUCGGAAAACCCUAGGCAUGGCUUGGGGUUCCAAUUCUCGUUCUUCCUCCCGCUCCUCCAUUCGCAAUUCGCCUUUCUCCAAUUUCGGUAGGUCAUCUCUCUCUCUCUCUCUGUACUUUGAUUGCUUUCGUUGAUGGUUUUCGCAUGCUGGUAUAGCUUAUUUUCAGUAGGUUUUCGCAACAUAUCCAAUGGUACGGAACCGGCGUCGAGCGUCGACCUGUAAGAACUAGGGUUUGGUGAUUCCAUCGUCAUGAGAGAAUUCUCCAUCUCUAUAGACACAACGAACGCGUUCAGGCAAUAAGCCAUUUUAGCAGCAAAAAUGCGAUUUGAGAGUCCGAUUUUGGCAGGUCCUCUCUCUCUCUCUUUGUACUUUGAUUGCUUUCGUUGAUGGUUUUCGCAUGCUGGUAUAGCUUAUUUUUUCAAAUUGACAUACAAGACAACGAGAUCGUAAGAGCAGCAUUUGGUAUGCAAUUUGUGAGUUGGCUUCCAGAAUUUAAGGCUCGUGGUGUUAGGGGGUCAGGUAAUGAUGUGUGAUUGCUUUGGGCAGAUUGGAAGUAUCAGGUGAUCUUCUGUUUUCAUGAGUUCUACUCCUGAUCGCAUUUUUGGGUCUUCAUUUAUUGAAGUUAGUUUAAGGUGGGGUUGGAGAUACAGUAACCCAUGUCUUCUUUGGCGUCUCCAUGCUGUCUUUGAUAGUUUGAGUGGUUUGAGUUGAGGAGAAGCAGUUUGUUUUUUAUCUUUCCAUGGAAAAAUGUGGUUGAACUUGGAAGAAUUGGGUCUCCAAUGUCAUGUUCUUGUUUUUGAAUAUUCAGUGCAAUCAAGCUUCAGGUGAAAUUCUGGUUUGGCAUCAGCCUCUCCUUGCUAUUUUUCAUUGUCUAGGUGUGAUGAUUUCUUGAUGCAUCUCGUAUCGAUUAUGUCAUGGGGGUUCUGAUUUCAGUAUCUUGUUCUCUGUCUAGUUCAGGAUUUAUUGAGGUUGUUCGUGUUAGGAAAGGUUGUUGUAUCCCUGCUUCUAGUGGCCUUGCUUUUAUGCAUUAAUGUAACAUAUAAUCUAUCCUUCCUUUAAAAAAAAAAAAAAAAGAGGAUGGUCUACUCUUUUGCUGCUAUUUUUAUUACAACUAUCAUGAGUGUGUUCUACAAACCACUUUCUUAGCUAUUUUAGAACUUUUGUCCUUAUCUUUGGUUUUUUGGUUCACCUAUCUCCCACUUUUUCUUUUUGAAAUAUAUGCAUUUUCUCCAUUUAUUGUUGAUAUGAGGUGAAUUGACUAUAUCGUAACUUUAACCUGCUUAAUAAUAUUCAAUGAUCUUUCAUUUGACUUUGGAGGUAAUUGAGUGGGUUUAUGACUACUAACAAGGUUCACAAUUGCAUGUCCGAAUUCAUUACAAAGAAGUAAUGGUUUGGUUCCAACCAGAUUCUAUCAGAAUAUUCUGCUGUUAAAGGAGAUAAUUUAUUUGAAGCUGGAAACAAGCACACUAGAAAGUCAUUUGAAGUUCCUUCUUUGAUAUUACUUAUGUUGUAUUUGUUCUCAUUAACCAUAUCAGCUUAGUUAGAAUUUUUCUUCCACUUCUUGGCCUUGGUAAUGAUCAUGUUUGCUGAUAUUAUAUGUGGAUUGUGUAGGUGACAACUGCUAGAUUCUUGGAUGUUUUUGCCCUCUGCUUGAGUCAGAAAUUAGUUUUUGCUAGUUCUCUUGACAGACUUAUUUCAGGAAGACCGUCCUCAACUGGAUACCUACAGUCGUUAACUGAGAAGAGAGCUAGCAUUUCCUAUACCAAAGAUGAUGAGUCAAUCACAGAUGUUACUCCAUAUGACAACUCAAGUUUUCCUAAUAUUCAGAACAAGAAGUUACUACAUUCGCCAGUAAAUCUGCGAAAGGAAUAUGAGCUUCCUUGCAUGCCACCUUGGUUUGUUCAUUGGUUUAUCCUUACUGGCAAGUUGGCAGGAUUUUACAACUCAAUUGGUAUUUUUUUUAGGUCUUUAUUCUCUGCUCCAAUCUUAGCCUUGGUUUUUUCUUUUUAUUUUGUCUUCCUUGUGACUAGAUUCUAGCGGUGAAAGGUCCCUAUCAAUUGUCAUUGACGUUCCACUUGGCUUCUUGAGGAAAUUGGUUGUUGAAGUCAGGUGAAAGACAAAGAAAGCUGGUAAGCUUGGUACAAUAGGACUAGAUCAGGACUGUUGGUGUACCAGGCCAGCACUGCUGUAUGUAUAUUGAAUGAGAUAAUUUUUGGUGCAUCGGAUAAAGCGGUUGAUGCUUUUGCAAGGAUGUUUGAAGGGUGUAGGUUAAGAAUGGAGAAGAUGGAAGGAUGUCAUGCAAUGUUUGAUGAUAUUCAAGCUGGCAAGUUUGAACAACCUAUGCCUUUUGCGUCCUUUUGGAAGUUUUCUUAGGACAAUGGUGCAAGAAAUCAUCCGAUUGCUUCCAUUGGAAGCAUUUUACAUGAAUACCUAUCUUUUGAAGUUUGGAGUCUACCCUUAAGAGCAUAAAUCUUCCCUUUAGCAGCCUGACGGGGAAGUUGAAGAUAUUGAUUUGCACUUCUUCCAUGAUGCUAGCCUUUUUGCACUAGGAAAUAACAUUUUCUUCACUAUAGCUACGCAUAAAUAUUUAGUAGUUUCGAGCAGUUUAUCGAAUGUUGAAUUACAUACCAAUCAAAUCUUUAGUAUAUGAACUCAGUAUGAAAUCCAGUGAGGGUGUGUUGAGUGUCAUAUCUCCUUGGACCCUUAAUUUUAGGGCGCACGAUAUGCAUGAAAAGUUGAUUACAGGUAUUUAGAUAGGUCACGAGCCUUUAAGUUGGUAGUAUUUCUAUAAUAUAUAAGAUGGUUCCAUUACUAAGGAAUCUACUUGAUACCACAUGACUUGGGGGGAGAAAAGGAGAUUUGCAUCUAUGUCUAUUGGUUUUAUAGGAAUCUUAAGUAACACUGUUGAAUUACAAAUGUUUGAAGUACAUGGAAUUGAUACUGGUGUUAUUAUAUCAACAGGUAUUAUUAUUGGUGGGAUAUGCAUUUUUAGUUUGUGCCUUGUCACAUAAAAUAUUGCCAUUGUUGGAGGAACCGGUAUGGGUGUUGGAUUGUGCCUCUUUAAGUAUUUCUUUCAGAAUUCUAAAGUUUCUAGAACAUUUAUUCUUUAUAGAAUGCUAUUCUAAUUUCCUCGUGGAUUUUGUUUUUCUAAAUGCCAUUGACAGAUGUUAUCCUCCCGAGUAUUUUGAACUUGAAAAAACUUUAAUAUGCUAUGCUUUUAUUUAAGAACUUAGAUUUACCCAUAAAUAUUUUUCUUUUGCUAUCCUUUUAUUUAAUUAAUUGCGAUUCUUGCUGUCCCCAUAAUUUUUCAUUUUGUUAGCGAGAAGUUGUGAUUUUGUGGCUAAAUGAAAUUGUACAAAUGUGACAUUAUUGUACAUUUAACAUUCUUUUUUAGGGUGAUAGAGACAGUAGCAGAAGUUCAUUAUCCUUGCUUAUUGGAUUAUUAUCUGGACCAUGAUUAUUCAAUGGUUAAUCAUGCUUCCCACAUGAGGUUCAUUAGGGAGACUAUAUGAACUUGGUAGUAACUUCUCAUAUGUAAUCUGUUCAUAGGUGUUUCAUCGCCAUCAUCACUACCAUUAUUACUAACACUUGGAUUGCAUGCCUUGGACUCAUAUGUCCCAUAUCCUGGUCUCGGUGAAAGGAAUUCUUUAUUGAUGCUUGGAGGUUAUGGAGUUUUUGGACACUCUAAAUCAUCUUACUGGUGAUUAGCUAUGUCUUGAUCAUUCAAUAGUUAAUCAUGCUUCCACAUGAGGUUCAUUAAGACUUGUUGCUGAAAUUGGCAGUCACUUCUAAUUUUCUAUUUUAUUGAAUAUUGAUGGAUUUUUGUUAGUAUCAUUAUGAUUAAUAGUUAUAACAGUUAAAUAUUGCCUUAAGAGGUAUAUUAUAAAGGGUACCAUGUAAAUUAUACAUACAUAACGUUGAAAAUAAAUUGAGACACAUAUAUCAGUUGCCACACCUUGCAUAAGACAUUGGUGAAGAACUCAAUAUUGAUAUAUGCUUUAGUUGAUUGCUAGCCUUCACAAAGCAAUAUCAAACCAAGUAUAAUUAGUCUAUAGCAAUGUUUCAUAAUAACGGAUGGCAACUUAGUUCUAUGAUAGGAGAUAAUUUUGACCAUGUGAGCUACUAUCCUGGUAAUUUUCACAAAGAUGGCACUGAUUAUGUAGUCUCCUUUGUUCCCAAGUUUCUGUUGUGUUUUUGGUUGUCAUAACUUUAAGUCAGUUUGGAUAACUUGUUUGUCAUUAAAUAUGGUUUGGUUUUAUAGGAAUAUUAAGUAACACUAUUGAAUUGUACAUGUUUGAAGUACAUGGAAUUGAUAGUGGUGUUAUUAUGUCAGCAGGUGUUAUUAUUGGUGGGAUAGGCAUUUUUAGUCUGUCCCUUGUCACAUAAAAUGUUGCCAUUGUUGGAGGAACCGGUAUGGGUGUUGGAUUGUGCCUCUUAAGUAUUUCUUUCAAAAUUCUAAAGUUUCUAUAACAUUUAUUCUUUAUAGAAUGUUGUUCUGAUUCCCUCGUGGAUUUUGUUUUUCUAAAUGGCAUUGAUAGAUGUUAUCCUCUUGAGUUUUUUGAACUUGCAGAAACUAUAAUAUGCUAUUCUUUUAUUUAAGAACUCAAAUUCACCCAUAAUUACUU